UACGUAGGGAGCAAGCGUUGUCCGGAAUCAUUGGGCGUAAAGCGCGUGUAGGCGGCUUUGCAAGUCGGGUGUGAAAGCCCUCAGCUUAACUGAGGAAGUGCGCCCGAAACUGCAGAGCUUGAAUACCGGAGAGGAUGGCGGAAUUCCCCAAGUAGAGGUGAAAUUCGUAGAUAUGGGGAGGAACACCGGUGGCGAAGGCGGCCAUCUGGACGGCUAUUGACGCUGAGACGCGAAAGCGUGGGGAGCAAACAGG
rnacentral:rRNA from 1 species